CUCGUUUCCCGCCCAAGGCUGAAACCCUGGCUCUUGGGCGUCCACUCCAAGCCCAAGCCCAAGCCGAUGCCACCGACAGAUCUCAUCGCCUCCGGAGACCCUCGGUGGAUCGGGCCUGCUUCCCCGCCAGCCGGGAGAUGAUGGAGUUCGGGGCUCAGCAGCACAGGGCUUGGGGAAUGGAUUCUUCCGGAACCGCUGGUUAUGAAGACUCAUCUGGUUGUGAGACAAUGGUUGUGCAUCCAACCUUUGAUACAGAAAACAAUUGACAAGCAAUCUAUGAGUUGGUCCCGGAUGACAAAUAAUUCCAACGUCAAAAGCAAGAUUUCAGAGAAGGGAAUGGGACAGUUUCCAGGUCGCAAAACAGUUUCACCGUCAAAAGACUUCUUUUCUGAUAUUGUAGAAAUGGAGAUCUUCAACUUUUGUCUUUGAUUGAAUAUUUAAUGGCAAUCAGCUCGUUUUAAGAGUCUAUGGAGAAAAAAGAAUGAUUCUUUUCAUGUUUGUGACAUAAAAAAAAUUGAUUCAACUGAGAUGCUUGAGAAUGUCAUCAAUCUUGAUCGGGAUUUGGAUUGCAAGGAUUACCAGGGACACGGUGUGAUGAAGUUGCCCAUCUCAAACUAAAUUCCGAUGUUGCUUGGCGUUCCGCUGUUCUUGUUAACAAAAAAAGGUUGAUUGCUAGUUUGUUUUAAGAGUACAUGGAGAAAAAAAGAAUGUUCUUGGUGGGUGCACUAUGUGGAACACUGUUCUGAUUUUAGGUUAAGCAUGCAAACUUGGGAGGGUCAUGAAGCAUCAAUAUUAGUAUUUUUGAGGUUAUCCGCAUAUUGCUAGUCAGGAUAAUCCACAAACAGAUGAUGGAACUGUGGCUCCUUCACACAUCAGGCCUACUCCUGAAAUUUCUGGCUGGAGAGUUUAGGAAACUGGAGUUCUCCUUCGAAUUGAGCCCACCACACUGAGGCAUAAGGAUCUUCCAGAAGACAAAAUCUAAGACAACCAUGUCGAUGAAUUAUGCUGCGGAUGUACACAGCAUAUUUUCCAGAGACUUUUAGGUGGAAGGAAACAGCGCAGGGAGGCAUUAACUUCAGUUACAGAGAAUUGUGACUUGAAAGGCACCGUUUCAAAAUUAUCCUGAGAGGAUAACAAGACUCAUCGAUGCAUCACAACCCAUUCCAGAAAGCUAGAAAGGCAUUCUGUUCUCGGGGAAGAUGAGAUGCAUGAAUAGUUCAACAACCUUGUGCAUUUCUCCAGCAACAAAAGAAUGACAAUGCCCUGCUUUUUCCUUCCCCCAAGAAAGAGAGAGGAAGAAUCCACCAAAGCAUGCAUCGGUACUGAAGGAAUGAACAGGUCAUAUUUCCAGCAACCAAAGGAUGAAUAGGUUUAUAGCAAUGAAUAGGUCCCACUGCUCACUGCACCACGAGGGUUGAAGUCUAUAGUUGGAGGAAGAUUUAUUAUAAG